CAGGGUACCGGGUGUUACCUGGUCAGACAGGGAGGGACAGGGUACCAGGUGUGUUACCUGGUGAGACAGCAGACAGGGAGGGGACAGGGUCCCGGGUGUGUUAGCUGGUGAGACAGCAGACAGGGAGGGACAGGGUACCAGUUGUGUUACCUGGUGAGACAGGGAGGGGACAGGGUACCAGGUGUGUUACCUGGUGAGACAGGGAGGGGACAGGGUACCAGGUGUGUUACCUGGUGAGACAGGGAGGGGACAGGGUACCAGGUGUGUUACCUGGUGAGACAGGGAGGGGACAGGGUCCCAGGUGUGUUACCUGGUGAGUCAGCAGACAGGGAGGGGACAGGGUACCAGGUGUGUUACCUGGUGAGACAGCAGACAGGGAGGGGACAGGGUCCCAGGUGUGGUAGGGGUGGUGUGUGUGUACGUUGUCUCUCUUCGACACCAUGGCCUGGAUCUCUCUCUCCACGGCUCCUCUGAUCACUGACAACUUCCUGCCAAACCUGAAGGGAAGACAAGACCACCGCAAUGUCAGGAAUAACUAGUUCUCCUGUCAAUAUGAA
ensembl:lncRNA